ACACUGUACGAGUUUGAUCCUGGCUCAGAACGACGCUGGCGGCAUGCCUAACACAUGCAAGUCGAACGAAGGCUUCGGCCUUAGUGGCGCACGGGUGCGUAACGCGUGGGAACCUGCCCCUCGGUUCGGUAUAACAGUUAGAAAUGACUGCUAAUACCGGAUGAUGACUUCGGUCCAAAGAUUUAUCGCCGAGGGAUGGGCCCGCGUAGGAUUAGCUAGUUGGUGGGGUAAAGGCCUACCAAGGCGACGAUCCUUAGCUGGUCUGAGAGGAUGAUCAGCCACACUGGGACUGAGACACGGCCCAGACUCCUACGGGAGGCAGCAGUGGGGAAUAUUGGACAAUGGGCGAAAGCCUGAUCCAGCAAUGCCGCGUGAGUGAUGAAGGCCUUAGGGUUGUAAAGCUCUUUUACCAGGGAUGAUAAUGACAGUACCUGGAGAAUAAGCUCCGGCUAACUCCGUG
rnacentral:rRNA from 1 species